rnacentral:rRNA from 1 species
GAUGAACGCUGGCGGCGUGCUUAACACAUGCAAGUCGAACGAUGAAGCCCAGCUUGCUGGGUGGAUUAGUGGCGAACGGGUGAGUAACACGUGAGUAACCUGCCCUUGACUCUGGGAUAAGCCUGGGAAACUGGGUCUAAUACUGGAUAUGACUUCUCAUCGCAUGGUGGGGGGUGGAAAGAUUUAUUGGUCUUGGAUGGACUCGCGGCCUAUCAGCUUGUUGGUGAGGUAAUGGCUCACCAAGGCGACGACGGGUAGCCGGCCUGAGAGGGUGACCGGCCACACGGGGACUGAGACACGGCCCAGACUCCUACGGGAGGCAGCAGUGGGGAAUAUUGCACAAUGGGCGCAAGCCUGAUGCAGCGACGCCGCGUGAGGGAUGACGGCCUUCGGGUUGUAAACCUCUUUCAGUAGGGAAGAAGCGAGAGUGACGGUACCUGCAGAAGAAGCGCCGGCUAACUACGU